rnacentral:rRNA from 1 species
GACGAACGCUGGCGGCGUGCUUAACACAUGCAAGUCGAGCGGUAAGGCCCUUUCGGGGGUACGACGAGCGGCGAACGGGUGAGUAACACGUGGGUGGACCUCGCCCUCCAGCUCUGGGAGUAAGCCUCGGGAAACCGGGGUACUAAUACUGGAUAUGACUCCAUGACGCAUGUUGGUGGGGUAGGAAAGCCUUGUGCGGCUGAGGAGUCGGGCCCGGCCGGCCUAUC